rnacentral:rRNA from 1 species
UACGUAGGGGGCUAGCGUUGUCCGGAUUUACUGGGCGUAAAGGGAGCGUAGGCGGAUUUUUAAGUGAGAUGUGAAAUACUCGGGCUCAACUUGAGUGCUGCAUUUCAAACUGGAAGUCUAGAGUGCAGGAGAGGAGAAUGGAAUUCCUAGUGUAGCGGUGAAAUGCGUAGAGAUUAGGAAGAACACCAGUGGCGAAGGCGAUUCUCAGGACUGUAACUGACGCUGAGGCUCGAAAGCGUGGGGAGCAAACAGG